AGUAACGCGUGAGGAACCUGCCUUCCAGAGGGGGACAACAGUUGGAAACGACUGCUAAUACCGCAUGAUGCGUUGGAGCCGCAUGACUCUGACGCCAAAGAUUUAUCGCUGGAAGAUGGCCUCGCGUCUGAUUAGCUAGUUGGUGAGGUAACGGCCCACCAAGGCGACGAUCAGUAGCCGGACUGAGAGGUUGGCCGGCCACAUUGGGACUGAGAUACGGCCCAGACUCCUACGGGAGGCAGCAG
rnacentral:rRNA from 1 species